UAGAAACACUAGGGGCGCCACCGGUAAGUGGCUGAGAUGAGUCUGUUCGACUUGAUCCCUUAGAACCUGUAAGUCAAUGCUUGCGGAGGAAAGUGUGAAUGGAUAACC
rnacentral:ncRNA from 2 species